ACAACGGAGCCACCCCAUUGCCCACGUGCAUGCCGGGAGGGUGGGCUGGCAGUCACCAGGUUUCUCCCUGCGGUGGACGCGCAGGGAAGCCCAGGAAACAGGUAGGUCACCUUCAAACGCUUCCAGGAGCCAAACAUUUUCACAUUUUCAAUGGAACUUUGUCCCUAGGAAUGAGCUGGCCCAACCCUUCCCAAGUAAACGGACCAACCCACGCUCUGAACCAGAAGAAAACAGGGCGAUGUGUCUGCUGUUGGCGUGUCUUUACAGGUUCCCCUGGUCCGUUCCAGGAUGAAUUUUGUUUCUGAGACAAGAAAAUUCCGUUCUAAAGCAGCCCGUCUCCCCCAAACCCCAUAGGAGAACCCCAUUCCUGAUGAGACACACUGGGAAUGUCUUAUCACUGGAGCUGAAACUCCGCUUUUAUGAAGGCGGCUGAAAAGUUUCUGUGAGUUCGGGCAGGUCUCCGGAGCGCCAGGGAAAUGGAAACCGAAAGUGAGCGAACACUGACGGACAGAUGCGAAUCUGCGGGCUGGAUGGCGGCGGCGGCGGCUGGGCUGCGUUUCCUAGCGUUAUGAAGCUGGAUGCUGGUGAACACCUGUUUCCUCACAGCAGCUCCAUCCAUCGGGGACUUGUAGCAGGUGAUGAGGCUGGGAGUGGGCGGCAAGGACCAGAGGGACAGCACUGGACAGACUCCGAGGGCCCCGGGCCUUGUCUGGGCUCCGCCACUAGAGCCAGGAUGAGGUAUUUCAACUCUGGUCUCUUUCUUCAGCGGCCAAGCGAGGGAUCUGCAUUCUAUGGUCAGAAUCCCAGGGCGGUUCUCUGUGACAUACAGGCAACUGAAAUAAGAGUGCGGACUCCCCUGGCACCUGUCCAGUGGCUGGGCAGUGCUUACUGCCCCAUGAAUGCCCCCCCUUUUUUUCCAUUUUGAACUGACACUUAGGGAGUAUGCCUGUAAGAAUCAGUCUCAAGUGUACGGUGACUGUGGUAGCCAUGUGAAUUCUCACAGACAUUAAAUUGCACAGAACUGAA